UGCAAAAAAAAAAAAAAAAAAAAAAAAAAAAAAAAAAAAAAA
rnacentral:ribozyme from 13 species